rnacentral:rRNA from 1 species
UGGGGAAUAUUGCACAAUGGGCGCAAGCCUGAUGCAGCCAUGCCGCGUGUGUGAAGAAGGCCUUCGGGUUGUAAAGCACUUUCAGCGGGGAGGAAGGCGUUAAGGUUAAUAACCUUGGCGAUUGACGUUACCCGCAGAAGAAGCACCGGCUAACUCCGUGCCAGCAGCCGCGGUAAUACGGAGGGUGCAAGCGUUAAUCGGAAUUACUGGGCGUAAAGCGCACGCAGGCGGUCUGUCAAGUCGGAUGUGAAAUCCCCGGGCUCAACCUGGGAACUGCAUUUGAAACUGGCAGGCUAGAGUCUUGUAGAGGGGGGGAGAAUACCAGGUGGAGCGGUGAAAUGCGUAGAGAUCAGGAGGAAUACCGGUGGCGAAGGCGGCCCCCUGGACAAAGACUGACGCUCAGGUGCGAAAGCGUGGGGAGCAAACAGG